CUCGGGGAUAGGCUGGGCAUCGGUCAACAGGUGCACCUGCUCUCAUGAUGUGCUGAGCUCAUGAGAAACCAAGGAACCAUCAUAAAAAAAAUUGUUUGGAAGGAGCCUGAACAUUGAAGCAAGACUUACACCACCAGUAGCUCAAGAAAGCCUUGGUUGGCUCUGUCUUUCCAAAUCUUCAGGGAUGGAGAUAACUCAGAUCCUCUAGGCCUAAACAACAAGAUACAGACCUGAAGCAGAGGAAAAGGAAGCCAGGCUCUGUUACUUUUGAUUAUGCGAAGUGAUGAUUCAUGAAUAGCUUUUCCUCACUUCUGUUUUUCUUAGAUUUUUUUUUUUAUUAUUUCUCCACCCAAACUCCCUUCAACAGAAGAGAGCAGACUUACAGAGGAUACUUAGAUAUUUUUUUAUUAAAACAAGAAAACAUUACCAGGUUCUUGCUAUUCUGUGUAACAGGAUCCAGUCCACUUGCCUCUGAAUACAGGGCAGUGAUUCCGAGCACUACUGAUGAAUUUCAUGCACUGUUAGGUAAACUUUGCAGGAAAUACCUUUCUAUUGCUUUGUCUGCAAAAUUUAACUGAAGCUGGGGAGCUCCUACUUCAUCUAAAUAAAAGGAUAAAAAGACUUAUUUUAUCAAAACCUCGAGUGAUCAAAAGAGUAUGAAUCACAUCAAUCAUAAUCCACAGCAGAGGUUUGAGCUUGAUGAACUAUACCCCAUGAGGUUUGAGACUGAGCUGGAAAGAGACAAAAAGUAUUCUUAAAUCUGCCACAGUAAUUGUUUUGAAGUCUUCAUUUACUGCAAGCUCAUAGGCUAAUUAUCAUUCUUAUUUCUGUAUAGGCUUAUAUUAUACAUAGCCCCGUACAGUAAUGUAUAGCUUUGCUGCUACAUC